GAGCUGGACGCCGGAGGAAGUGCCUCCGAUUUCGGGGCGUGGUCCUUCUCCGGGGAGGGCGGCGGGGGAAGGGAAGAACGGAGUUGGAGCAAGCGCAGUGCUCGAAGCGCCGAGCCAGGUUAAUCCUGGAGCUCCAGGCUCUGAAAGACGCCUGUGCGAUCUCGGCGCAUGAGCAGUCCGGCUAGGCAAGGGCUGGCUAUCUGUGAUCUGGUCCCUCUGGAAGGCCGCCAGAAACCAAGAAUGCUUCCAUACUCUGUAGAGCCUCAAAAUAAUCAAAGGAUCUGAAAGUUGGGUUUGGUUAAUCUGGUCCCAACUAAUUUGACCCAAAUGACUCAAUUUGAGAGCUGAUGGAUACUUGGAAUAAAAAUUUAAAAACAGCUAGGAGUGUUAUCUCAUGUCUGUAAUAUCAGCACUGAAGAUGAUGAGGAAGGAGGAUUUCCUCCAUUUCAAGGACAGCCUGGGCUACACAAUGAGUCCAAGUAUACCGUGCUGUGGUAAAUGUCCUUGUUCCUAAGUUUGUGCCUCUGGAUCUCUCUCUUCAAGACAGACGCUUACGAGUGUUGUAUCUCUACUCUGCUGUUGCUUCACUAAUAUUAGGUAUGCAGAAUUGCACCGUAAUUCCUGGCUCCUGACACAUUCUCAUAGUUGGCAAGUGGAUGGUCAGAUCUUACUGACUAAGCAGACCUGCGUUUGGUUCCUAGUGCCCACAUUGGGCAGAUCACAACAGCCUAUGACUCCAGCUCCAGGGGAUCAGCUGCUGGACCACACUGGCACCUGCACUCAUUCAGAGUCUCUGAGCCAAUGUGCUGGACAACUGAACAUCAGAGAGGACACCCAAUGUCCCUGAAGGUCCCUGAGCUGCUCAGAAUGCACGAUGAGUGUCCAUCUAGCCCUGCAGUCCCCUCCCCUUGGGUCAAGCCCUUGUGUGAGAAAGUUUUGUGUGGUUGCCUUGUCAACAGCCCGGGACUCCUAGCUCCACAUACCAGGCUUCUGAGGUCUUGAUUAGUCAGCUCCUCUACUUCCUUACUACCAGCAUAGCUCAGUUUCAGCCUGGAACCAGGAAGGGCUGCUGACAGUAUCAUACACUCCCACAGUGAUUCAUUCGGUUGUUUCAACAGCUUGCUUGAAAGAAAAGUUACCCCCCCCAAAAAAAAGAAAACCUAUUUGGAAGUCCAAACUAGAAAUCAUGAUUCUCAAAAUCUGCAUUCUAGUAACCAGUCACUUGAUUCCCCACAGCCUCUAAGAAAGCCAUGGCUGCGGUUGGCUGUGGUACUGCACUGUGGAGGGCACCUGGCAUGACCUCAGGUACAGUCCCUGUACACAUAAGGACUUUGGAUCAUAUUUAAGAUAGUGCGAUGACAUUAGCUAUAGUAUUUUCUACGUCUUUAUGAUAAAAGAGAACAAAGAACUGUAGGAAUAACAGGAUCACCUAGCUCUCCUUUUUCUUCCACCCAAAGUCAGAUUAUCCCAGCCCUCUUGGGCUUUAGACACAGAGCAUCAUGGAACCCAGUCUGGCCUUAAACUUACUA